GUUGAAAUAUGGGAAAAAAAGAAAAAAAAAAUCUAACAAAAAACGAAUAUCCAUGGCAAAAACUGUCAUUUAGGAGGCUAUCAUCAGCAGUAGAAACCGGCUGGAAUAAUUUGGAAGAACAUGGCAGAUUUUGAGGCCUUUCAUUGGUUCAGGAAACCAUCGACUGCUGCUGACUUCCGUUAUACACCCAGUGCCAUCCUUGGAAGCCGAUGGAGAUGAUCCGGGUUCGGUAAUCAUGCCAUUAUCAACAGCAACACCGUUUGGGAGGAUUUGGAAGAGGUACCGCUGCAACUGUUGCCUGAAGCUGGGAAAAAAGAUGACUCGAUUCUGCAGAUCGAUAUUGAUCCCGGUGUGACGGAAACUUUCUCAGCAGGAAAAAAAUGGAAGCAGAAUUCCAGGUUUGUCAUUGCCGCCAAAAACCUCAUCGGCAGAAAAAAAGGCGGAAGCAUAUCGUUGUUGGCCGAACCAGUUCCUGCUUCCGGCUAAAGGAGAUGCACUGGACAACACCAGCUCACAGACUAGCCAUUCUACGGCACCGAACGGUAUGUUGGCUGGGUAUAUGGUUAUUAUACGAAAUAAAUAUAUCCAUCGGCCAGCAGUUAUCAUGAUGCUACGACCCGAGAGCCAACGAAAGAUUCCGGUAGUACGUCCCGGACGCACUGUUGCCGUAGAUAUCUGAGGGCCGCAAUCUGGCUGAAAGAGGCAACAAAUCAAAGCUGUGGUCAUUACCGGCAUGUUGAUUUAAAAAAAAAUAUAUAAAUUAUAUUAGUAAAACCAGUUUGUAAAAUCCGAUAAUUCCAUCAAUAAACAUAAAUUUGAAAGCAAUUUAUUUUAA